CAGCCAUGACACUCCCCCUCCAGAUCACCAGAGGGCACCUUCACCCGAGUUUUGAAACUCUAUUUUGGUUAUGACACUCACUUCCUGUCUAGCUGCUAUACAAAGCACAUGGACGUUUUGUAGAUGUAAAGCUUUACAAUUUGCCCUACACAUUCAGUGUCUCUUCUACCACUUCUCCCUGACUCCAACUCGCUGCAGUAUACAACCAGUAAAAGGGAGAAAUCACGUUAGGAAUGCCAAAAGACUGAUGGUGAAAGUGAUGAACGGAGAUAAGGUUGAGGAGGAACCACACACACAGAUUGAAGAAGUGGCAAAGGCUGAUGAAGCAUGAGAGCUGAGUCAUACAGCGAGACAGACUCGGUUCCAGCAUGAUAAUGACCCUGUGCACAAAGCGAACUCCAUGAAGACAUGUUUUGCCAGUGUUGAAGUGGAAGAAUUUGAGUAGCCUGACCUCAGGGAUGAACUGGAACGCUGACUGCACCCCAGGCCUCUUCACCUGACAUCAGUGCCUGACCUCACUAAUGCUCCUGUGGCUGAAUGUGCAAAUCCCCACAGCUACACUUUAAAAUCUAGUGGAAAGUCUUCCCAGAAGAGUGGAGGUUAUUAUAACAGCAAAGGGGGACCUAAUCAGGAAUGGGAUGUUCAAAAAGCACAUAUGAGUGUGAUGGCCACAAACGUUUAGCCAUAUAUUGCAUGUAACAUUUAUGGAAGGAAUCUCAGGUGUCAGAGCUUUCUAACAGACAUGGUAGUUUGUGAAGUUUCCUAGUACAGGAAAGUCUCGUGGACAGAAGAGUUUAUGCUUUCUGGUUUCACAAUAAAAUGAUGAGCUGCAUUAUUUUUUUUAUUGAUAUAUUUUUAAGAGAGUGUAAGAGAGAGGAAGAGAUGCAGUUGAGGGUACAACUGGUUAUCUUUGCUGGAAGUGAUAACAGGAACUAACCUGUCUCAAGGAUGUUCCACAACAUUGAAUCUAACUAUAAAUUGUUAAAAAGCAUGACAUGUACUUCAUUAAUAAAUCAUAUAUUGUAAUGAUUGAAAAUUUGCUGUAGUAUUAGUGGAAUAACACACUCCAGACCAUGCAUUUAUAUAAAAAAAAUAAUAAUAAUAAACCACUCUGCAGUGGUAAUGGUAUAACACCACCCUGGCG